rnacentral:tRNA from 1 species
UCCCUGGUGGACCAGUGGCUAGAACUCUGCACUCUCAAUGCAGGAGGCCCAAGUUCAGUUCUUGGUCAGGCAG